rnacentral:rRNA from 1 species
AUUGAACGCUGGCGGCAUGCCUUACACAUGCAAGUCGAACGGUAACAGGUCUUCGGAUGCUGACGAGUGGCGAUCGGGUGAGUAAUACAUCGGAACGUGCCCGAUCGUGGGGGAUAACGAAGCGAAAGCUUUGCUAAUACCGCAUACGAUCUACGGAUGAAAGCGGGGGAUCUUCGGACCUCGCGCGGACGGAGCGGCCGAUGGCAGAUUAGGUAGUUGGUGGGAUAAAAGCUUACCAAGCCGACGAUCUGUAGCUGGUCUGAGAGGAUGAUCAGCCACACUGGGACUGAGACACGGCCCAGACUCCUACGGGAGGCAGCAGUGGGGAAUUUUGGACAAUGGGCGCAAGCCUGAUCCAGCCAUGCCGCGUGCAGGAUGAAGGCCUUCGGGUUGUAAACUGCUUUUGUACGGAACGAAAAGGUGCCUUCUAAUAAAGGGCGCUCAUGACGGUACCGUAAGAAUAAGCACCGGCUAACUACGUG